rnacentral:rRNA from 1 species
CCGCCGCGCGCGGCGGGCCUACGGGAGGCAGCAGUGGGGAAUAUGCACAAUGGGCGCAAGCCUGAUGCAGCCAUGCCGCGUGUAUGAAGAAGGCCUUCGGGUUGUAAAGUACUUUCAGCGGGGAGGAAGGUGUUGAGGUUAAUAACCUCAGCAAUUGACGUUACCCGCAGAAGAAGCACCGGCUAACUCCGUGCCAGCAGCCGCGGUAAUA